AAUGCACCAAUUUGUAAGUCGCUCUGGAUAAGGACGUCUGCUAAAUGACUUAAA
rfam:Salmo salar isolate Sally breed double haploid chromosome ssa10, whole genome shotgun sequence.